AGUGAACGCUGGCGGUAGGCCUAACACAUGCAAGUCGAACGGCAGCACAGUAAGAGCUUGCUCUUACGGGUGGCGAGUGGCGGACGGGUGAGGAAUACAUCGGAAUCUACUUUUUCGUGGGGGAUAACGUAGGGAAACUUACGCUAAUACCGCAUACGACCUACGGGUGAAAGCAGGGGAUCUUCGGACCUUGCGCGAUUGAAUGAGCCGAUGUCGGAUUAGCUAGUUAGCGGGGUAAAGGCCCACCAAGGCGACGAUCCGUAGCUGGUCUGAGAGGAUGAUCAGCCAAACUGGAAAUGAGAACACGUCCAGACCCCUACGGGAGGGCGCAGUGGGGAAUAUUGGACAAUGGGCGCAAGCCUGAUCCAGCCAUACCGGGUGGGUGAAGAAGGCCUUCGGGUUGUAAAGCCCUUUUUUUGGGAAAGAAAAGCAGCAGGUUAAUACCCCGCUGUUCUGACGGUAACCAAAGAAUAAGCACCGGCUAACUUCGUG
rnacentral:rRNA from 1 species